GACGAACGCUGGCGGCGUGCCUAAUACAUGCAAGUCGAACGCAGUGGGGACGGGUGAGUAACACGUGGGUAACCUCCCAUCAGAGGGGAUAACACUUGGAAACAGGUGCUAAACCGAUACUGAUGGAUGGACCCGCGGUGCAUUAGCUAGUUGGUGAGGUAACGGCUCACCAAGGCCACGAUGCAUAGCCGACCUGAGAGGGGGAUCGGCCACACUGGGACGGAGACACGGCCCAGACUCCUACGGGAGGCAGCAGUAGGGAAUCUUCGGCAAUGGACGAAAGUCUGACCGAGCAACGCCGCGUGAGUGAAGAAGGUUUUCGGAUUGUAAAACUCUUUUGGUAGAGAAGCGGUACCCGAACAGGAAGCCACGGCUAACUACGUGCCAGCAGCCGCGGUAAUAC
rnacentral:rRNA from 1 species